CGUGCCUUUCGCCGUGAGUGCGAUAUCCUUCGCUGUCAUCGCGCUAGGAAUGUCGACAUUUAUGUUACUUUCUGUGGACAUUGCCGUGGACCGAGGGAUCCCUUCAUCCAGCGGUGUCUUUCUCCUGAACGCCUUCGCAGUGACAGACAUUGUGGCGAGGCCGUUAAGUGGCCUGAUAAUCGACUCUGGUUUUUUAUCAUUAGAGAGCGUUAUGCUAAUCGGAUUCAUUAUCCAAUUCUUGGCGCUAGAACUCUUCGUGUGGUUAGAGCAUUUCCCGCUUAUGCUGGCUUCCUCUGCGCUAUUUGGUGUCAGUAACGGACUGAGGAUCACUCUGCUCGCGCCUUUUCUCGUUAAAGACUUUGGAAUGGACCGAAUGCCACACUUGCUUGGUGGCGUGUCCUUCUGUAGUGGCCUCGUCCUGCUCACAAGACCAUUUCUUGUUGGUUACUGGAGGGACCACCUGGGAUCCUACGAUGGCCUUCUUCAUUUCGUGGCUAUAGUAAACGCUGUCGUUGCGGUCAUAUGGAUGGCGAAGCUUUACGUGCUGAGACGGCAAAAACGGCUUAUAUAGGAAAAUAAAAACUUGUGUUUAGGCGAA
rnacentral:misc_RNA from 1 species